rnacentral:rRNA from 1 species
UACGGGGGGGGCAAGCGUUGUUCGGAAUUACUGGGCGUAAAGGGCUCGUAGGUGGCCAACUAAGUCAGACGUGAAAUCCCUCGGCUUAACCGGGGAACUGCGUCUGAUACUGGAUGGCUUGAGUUUGGGAGAGGGACGCGGAAUUCCAGGUGUAGCAGUGAAAUGCGUAGAUAUCUGGAGGAACACCGGUGGCGAAGGCGGCGUCCUGGACCAAUACUGACACUGAUGAGCGAAAGCCAGGGGAGCAAACGGG